GAUGAACGCUGGCGGCGUGCCCAAUACAUGCAAGUCGAGCGAACGGACGAGAAGCUUGCUUCUCUGAUGUUAGCGGCGGACGGGUGAGUAACACGUGGAUAACCUACCUAUAAGACUGGGAUAACUUCGGGAAACCGGAGCUAAUACCGGAUAAUAUUUUGAACCGCAUGGUUCAAAAGUGAAAGACGGUCUUGCUGUCACUUAUAGAUGGAUCCGCGCUGCAUUAGCUAGUUGGUAAGGUAACGGCUUACCAAGGCAACGAUGCAUAGCCGACCUGAGAGGGUGAUCGGCCACACUGGAACUGAGACACGGUCCAGACUCCUACGGGAGGCAGCAGUAGGGAAUCUUCCGCAAUGGGCGAAAGCCUGACGGAGCAACGCCGCGUGAGUGAUGAAGGUCUUCGGAUCGUAAAACUCUGUUAUUAGGGAAGAACAUAUGUGUAAGUAACUGUGCACAUCUUGACGGUACCUAAUCAGAAAGCCACGGCUAACUACGUGCCAGCAGCCGCGGUAAUACGUAGGUGGCAAGCGUUAUCCGGAAUUAUUGGGCGUAAAGCGCGCGUAGCGGUUUUUUAAGUCUGAUGUGAAAGCCCACGGCUCAACCGUGGAGGGUCAUUGGAAACUGGAAAACUUGAGUGCAGAAGAGGAAAGUGGAAUUCCAUGUGUAGCGGUGAAAUGCGCAGAGAUAUGGAGGAACACCAGUGGCGAAGGCGACUUUCUGGUCUGUAACUGACGCUGAUGUGCGAAAGCGUGGGGAUCAAACAGGAUUAGAUACCCUGGUAGUCCACGCCGUAAACGAUGAGUGCUAAGUGUUAGGGGGUUUCCGCCCCUUAGUGCUGCAGCUAACGCAUUAAGCACUCCGCCUGGGGAGUACGACCGCAAGGUUGAAACUCAAAGGAAUUGACGGGGACCCGCACAAGCGGUGGAGCAUGUGGUUUAAUUCGAAGCAACGCGAAGAACCUUACCAAAUCUUGACAUCCUUUGACAACUCUAGAGAUAGAGCUUUCCCCUUCGGGGGACAAAGUGACAGGUGGUGCAUGGUUGUCGUCAGCUCGUGUCGUGAGAUGUUGGGUUAAGUCCCGCAACGAGCGCAACCCUUAAGCUUAGUUGCCAUCAUUAAGUUGGGCACUCUAAGUUGACUGCCGGUGACAAACCGGAGGAAGGUGGGGAUGACGUCAAAUCAUCAUGCCCCUUAUGAUUUGGGCUACACACGUGCUACAAUGGACAAUACAAAGGGCAGCGAAACCGUGAGGUCAAGCAAAUCCCAUAAAGUUGUUCUCAGUUCGGAUUGUAGUCUGCAACUCGACUACAUGAAGCUGGAAUCGCUAGUAAUCGUAGAUCAGCAUGCUACGGUGAAUACGUUCCCGGGUCU
rnacentral:rRNA from 1 species